UACGUAGGGUCCGAGCGUUGUCCGGAAUUAUUGGGCGUAAAGGGCUCGUAGGCGGUUUGUCACGUCGGGAGUGAAAACACGGGGCUUAACCCCGUGCCUGCUUCCGAUACGGGCAGACUAGAGGUAUGCAGGGGAGAACGGAAUUCCUGGUGUAGCGGUGAAAUGCGCAGAUAUCAGGAGGAACACCGGUGGCGAAGGCGGUUCUCUGGGACGGUACUGACGCUGAGACGCGAAAGCGUGGGGAGCGAACAGG
rnacentral:rRNA from 1 species